rnacentral:rRNA from 1 species
UACGUAGGGUGCAAGCGUUGUCCGGAAUUAUUGGGCGUAAAGAGCGUGUAGGCGGCCCGAUUAGUCCGCUGUGAAAGUCCAGGGCUCAACCCUGGAAUGCCGGUGGAUACUGUCGGGCUAGAGUCCGGAAGGGGCGAGUGGAAUUCCUGGUGUAGCGGUGAAAUGCGCAGAUAUCGGGAGGAACACCUGUGGCGAAGGCGGCCCCCCUGGUUGGAUACUGACGCUGAGACGCGAAAGCGUGGGGAGCAAACAGG